rnacentral:lncRNA from 1 species
CCCUCCUCUAGCAAUCUUCUAAAUCUUGCCCGUGCAAAGGACCGUCUUUCGUUGCUUUCUUCGUCUUCUUCGUGCCGCACCGAUGUAAGAAAAAUUUAAUUUUUCUUGCCUUAUUCUUGGAUAGUGCUAUUGCGGGGCAGCCGUCGGGGUGGUGCGGCACAUCGGCUGGCAGGGGCCAGGAGUUGGCUCGGCAUGGGCCGAGGAGAUGUUGUGGCAGGGACCACUGCUUGGGCAGCUUGGCUUGGCUUGAGCCAAAAGGCAGCUUGUGCAACUACGGUCGCGGAUUGUGGUGCUGGGGCGCAGUGCUAGGCGAGCCGCAUGGCUCAUGUCCUUUGGGCUCUUGGACCUGACUCGGGCCAGGCUGGUGAUUGAGAGAAAUAAGGAGAUUGCGGGUCUCAUGGGCUGCUGGAAUGUUGGGCAUGCAGGCCUCCUGCCUGUUGGAAUGCUGGGUUGAGC